UACGGGGGGGGUAAGCGUUGUUCGGAAUUACUGGGCGUAAAGGGCUCAUAGGCGGCCAACUAAGUCAGACGUGAAAUCCCUCAGCUUAACUGGGGAACUGCGUCUGAUACUGGAUGGCUUGGAUUCGGGAGAGGAAUGCGGAAUUCCAGGUGUAGCGGUGAAAUGCGUAGAUAUCUGGAGGAACACCGGUGGCGAAGGCGGCAUUCUGGACCGUAACUGACGCUGAGACACGAAAGCGUGGGUAGCAAACAGG
rnacentral:rRNA from 1 species